rnacentral:rRNA from 1 species
GAGGGAAUCUUCCGCAAUGGGCGAAAGCCUGACGGAGCAACGCCGCGUGAGUGAUGAAGGUCUUCGGAUCGUAAAACUCUGUUAUUAGGGAAGAACAAAUGUGUAAGUAACUAUGCACGUCUUGACGGUACCUAAUCAGAAAGCCACGGCUAACUACGUGCCAGCAGCCGCGGUAAUACGUAGGUGGCAAGCGUUAUCCGGAAUUAUUGGGCGUAAAGCGCGCGUAGGCGGUUUUUUAAGUCUGAUGUGAAAGCCCACGGCUCAACCGUGGAGGGUCAUUGGAAACUGGAAAACUUGAGUGCAGAAGAGGAAAGUGGAAUUCCAUGUGUAGCGGUGAAAUGCGCAGAGAUAUGGAGGAACACCAGUGGCGAAGGCGACUUUCUGGUCUGUAACUGACGCUGAUGUGCGAAAGCGUGGGGAUCAAACAGG